rnacentral:rRNA from 1 species
CCUACGGGAGGCAGCAGUGGGGAAUAUUGCACAAUGGGGGAAACCCUGAUGCAGCGACGCCGCGUGAGUGAAGAAGGAAUUCGUUAUGUAAAGCUCUAUCAGCAGGGAAGAAAAUGACGGUACCUGAGUAAGAAGCCCCGGCUAACUACGUGCCAGCAGCCGCGGUAAUACGUAGGGGGCAAGCGUUAUCCGGAUUUACUGGGUGUAAAGGGAGCGUAGACGGCAGUGCAAGUCUGGAGUGAAAUGCGGGGGCUCAACCCCCGGACUGCUCUGGAAACUGUACGGCUUGAGUGAAGGAGAGGUAAGUGGAAUUCCUGGUGUAGCGGUGAAAUGCGUAGAUAUUAGGAGGAACACCAGUGGCGAAGGCGGCCUACUGGACUGUAACUGACGUUGAGGCUCGAAAGCGUGGGGAGCAAACAGGAUUAGAUACCCCUGUAGUC